UCAUGAGUUGCUGAGACACCCUGAGGGCCCCUUUGUGAAGGACUCAGCUAGAAGGAUCUUGCUGAUGGAAACUCACUACCAGCAGAUAACACGUGCUUAUGGCCUUCCCACCCCUAGCACAUGCAUUAAGUGUUCUGAAACAUUUCCACCCGUCUACUGGCUGAAAAUGAUGUACAAUUUUUGUAUUGAGUUCAAUGUCAUUGGUCAUCAAUGGGGUGGAAUGCAUUUCAUCACUUGCCAUCUGAUUGUCUUAUUACAGAAAUUCCCUCUAAUCAUGUUUCUACUGGAAAAAAUAUAUAAUUGACCAUAAGAGCUCAAGAAUAGUAUUUACCACAGUGAGCUUUGAUCUAAGAUGGAGUCUUUAUGUUCUUCUCAAAUGUUUGCUUCUAAGCAGGCCUUCUUCUACAGACUUUGUUUUUGUGAAAUCUACAAACUCUUUCCUUCGGCAUUUUUUUCUUUUGCUCACAUACUCUGAAAGACCUAAAACAAAACUGGCAUUUUAAAAGAAAUUGGGGCCAGACUCCUUGGACAUUAAGUAGUGACAAACAUUUAAAGAGAAAAUGGCACCUGGAUUGUUAGAUUUUUUUUUUAAACGUUGGGAGAUUAUGCAUCAUGAGUCCAUGAAAGACAGAAAUAACCAUGAUUCACAAUCACUGUGUGACUGUGGUUUCCUAAGAAUCAUUACACUUCAAAGUCUACUCUAGAGCCUGGCACCGCUGACCUUCUGUUCUUUCUGUGUCUUUGUUCCAUGCCAAGACACCCAUUUUGUCUUUCCUGGUAAGUCGGGCUGAGUAAAUAAAUGAUGAUAUUAUAA
rnacentral:lncRNA from 1 species